GGGGAUUCUGCCGGUGGUGAUUUUACGUGAAGCGGUGCACUCCGUCCAACAGUAUGACAAAGAAGUUUAUGGGUAGUCUAACCUAUGGUGGUGACUGUCAAUGCCCCUUGCCAGUGUGACCACUGUGUAUUCACACACUUUGCCCAUGAUGGGUGAGGGGUGAAGCAUUCCACCACUAAAGAUUCCCACCACACCGCUGGGUAUAUGGAAAUACAUAUAACUACCAAUGUACACUGGCUCCCUAUAUCACAACGGAUUCACUUUGAAAUCGUGUUAAUGACACUUAAAGCUCUUCACAAACUUUCCGCUGCCUACCUCGCAUACCUCCUUCAAAACCUGGAAAGUUAA
ensembl:lncRNA